rfam:Canis lupus familiaris chromosome X, whole genome shotgun sequence.
CGGGGGAGGUCGGAUCCUGGGCUGUGUCCCGGCGCCCUGUGCUCCGAGGCCUGCGCUGUUGGAUUCGCGGAGCCGCCGCCCGAGCCCCCCCCC